rnacentral:misc_RNA from 1 species
AAAGUCGUAACAAGGUAACCGUAGGUGAACCUGCGGUUGGAUCAUUAAAAAUUUGUAUUGGGAUCUGUUCCCCGGAGGUUGAGUUGAGUUGUUGAAAGCAUUUUCACCUCCUCCCUCUGCGGUUUGAGCAGAUUCCCCUGGCACGCUUCAGAUCUGAAAGCUUAAGCCCAAGAUCUGGGGAUGUGUACCAGGUCAUACACAUCUUGUGAACUGUUUUUGUUUCUGGCGGAGGGGUGUGACCAAUCACUGGUCUGCACUUGUCAGCCUGGGAUCUACCCAGGCCGUGGACACCCGCCAACCAAUUGUUGAACCUAAGCUAAGAUUAUCUGUCUGACAUACAUGUAUGAAAAUUACAAACAACUUUUGGCAACGGAUCUCUUGGCUCUC